GCUUGCGGGAGGCGGAGCGAGCCACAAAGAGGGUACUCAUACCCAGGGGAUGGGGUGGCAAGAGGAAUGAGGAAAUCGUGGCGAGGUGCGAAGAGCAGUGCAGAACUUUUCGUAUCCCUAAACCAAUCCGCACUUUGAUUUAGCUCGGCUGGCAUGUGGAGAGGCUAAUACUCAUCACCGGCCCCUCGUGUGAGGACCUGGAAGAAUUACCGAUGGUAACAAAGUGAGUUCAUGGCUACUGUCCGGUCAAGCAGAUGAACAUCCAAGAUACCAGGAGAGAACAAGAUUCCCUGAGACUCUGGAAUGUAGCUGAAGACAUUGUGACGUGUGUCCUACUCUGCAGCCUGGUAGAAGGGCAAAGAAGGAAUUAGUACUAAAGGAGAGAAAAGCAGGGCCCUGGGGCCUAUGGAAAAGAAAGGAGAGGAUUCUUGGGAAGCUGGUGGUGGCCUGAGAAAGGACUGUAAGGUGGUGGAGAGUGACCCAUGUUCCUGGAAGAUGAAGCACUCCACAAAAAACGACUCAAACAGCUACCAAGUUAUGGCAGCUCUGGCUCAGGCUCCAUCACUCAUCUGUGAUCAACAUUUUCAUCUCUUGGGGCUAUGAAGGCUGCCUUUUUCAUUGGGCCUUCAUAUAUUUGUGCAAUAAGUGAGAGUGUUGGGCUUUGAAGUCUGAUAUCCCCUGACAGAAGUUGAAAGGAUCUACAUGGAUCCAAAAGGAUGCAUACCUUUCAAUCCAUUCUGAAACAUUGUCUAACAUACCCUCCAAAUUAUUACUUCAUUCUCUAGAAAGAUGAACCUUUAUUUAACUUCUUUCAUGGUUAAUACAAAAGUAAUAUACUUGUUCAUUAUAAAUUUUGCAGAUAA